AUUUCUUCGGAGAGUUUGAUCCUGGCUCAGGAUGAACGCUGGCGGCGUGCCUAAUACAUGCAAGUCGAGCGAAC
rnacentral:rRNA from 1 species